rnacentral:rRNA from 1 species
UACGUAGGUGGCAAGCGUUGUCCGGAUUUACUGGGCGUAAAGAGCGCGCAGGCGGUCGUUCAAGUCGCGUGUGAAAGCCCCCGGCUCAACUGGGGAGGGUCACGCGAUACUGAUCGACUCGAAGGCAGGAGAGGGUAGUGGAAUUCCCGGUGUAGUGGUGAAAUGCGUAGAUAUCGGGAGGAACGCCAGUGGCGAAGGCGACUACCUGGCCUGUUCUUGACGCUGAGGCGCGAAAGCUAGGGGAGCAAACGGG